rnacentral:rRNA from 1 species
GAUUAACGCUGGCGGCAUGCCUAAUACAUGCAAGUCGAACGAGAAUUUAUUCUAGUGGCGAACGGGUGAGUAAUGUAUUUCUAACCUGCCCUAGAGAGUGGGAUAACUAUUGGAAACGAUAGCUAAUACCGCAUAGGAUAUUGGAGGGCAUCUUCUAAUGUUUAAAGGUGCGUUUGCACCACUUUGGGAUGGGGAAAUAUCACAUUAGCUUGUUGGCGGGGUAAAGGCCCACCAAGGCGAUGAUGUGUAGCCGGGCUGAGAGGUUGAGCGGCCACAAUGGGACUGAGACACGGCCCAUACUCCUACGGGAGGCAGCAGUAGGGAAUUUUCCACAAUGGAAGAAAGUCUGAUGGAGCAAUGCCGCGUGAGGGAUGACGGUCUUCGGAUUGUAAACCUCUGUUGUAAGGGAAGAACAAGCAGGAUAGGAAAUGAUCUUGCUCUGACGGUACCUUACCAGAAAGUCACGGCUAACUAUGUGCCAGCAGCCGCCGUAA